rnacentral:sRNA from 1 species
CUCUUGGUAGAGCUGUGGGCAUAUGAAGUGGACGUGGACGUCGAGGGCGCCGGCGGUGAGGAUCAAGCCCUCACCGGCUAUGGCCUCGGUCGUCGCACCCACCCACAUGGAACCGUCCACACCCUGCACAGACACACACACACACACACACACGCACACACACACACAGACAGAUAUAUUACGGACCCUGCACUGCAUCCAUCCACCAGAUGUCUGUCUGUCCGUCGUGAGCGUGUGGCUCGGCUCGCCUGCAUGACGUCGGGAUUGCCGGCCUUCCCAAUGCCAACGAUCAUGCCGCCCUUGAGACCAACGUCAGCCUGCACACAUAACAUACACAUACACAACAGACACGAUGGAGGCAUCAAUCACUGCGUGCACCGCUGGCGGCCAGCAUAGCAUACCUUGACGAUACCGAGUUUGGCGUCGAUAAUGAGUGCGUUGGUGAUGACGCAGUCGAGGGCCUUGGCGGGUGAGCAGUUGGCCAUCUGACCCAUACCCUCACGGAG